rnacentral:rRNA from 1 species
CCUACGGGAGGCUGCAGUGAGGAAUAUUGGUCAAUGGGCGCGAGCCUGAACCAGCCAAGUAGCGUGAAGGAUGACUGCCCUACGGGUUGUAAACUUCUUUUAUAAAGGAAUAAAGUGAGGCACGUGUGCCUUUUUGUAUGUACUUUAUGAAUAAGGAUCGGCUAACUCCGUGCCAGCAGCCGCGGUAAUACGGAGGAUGCGAGCGUUAUCCGGAUUUAUUGGGUUAAAGGGGUGCGCAGGCGGGAGAUCAAGGCAGCGGUAAAAUGUCGGGGGUCAACCCCGGACGGCCGUUGAAACUGGUUUUCUAGAGUUGGGGAGAGGCAUGCGGAAUUCGUGGUGUAGCGGUGAAAUGCAUAGAUAUCACGAAGAACACCGGUUGCGAAGGCAGCAUGCCGGAUCCAUACUGACGGUGAGGCACGAAAGCGUGGGGAUCGAACAGGAUUAGAUACCCUAGUAGUC